AUAACUUGAAGAUUAUCUCUAAGCCUGAAGCUACAAUGCAGAGAAGGUUGAUACGCUGAACAGUUACUCUCAAUUUUAUUGGAUCUAAAACAGGUCAUGGAUAUGGGAAACUGGAAAACUUCACUAAGCAGAGAUUGUGCACUAGAGUAAAUGCAGGUUGAAGUGCUGACAGAAUCCUUCAGUGGACAGAUGGACUUGAUGAUCUUUUAGUAGAUUUUUCAAAAAGGAUUCAUCUACAGCAGCAGUCCCCAACUUUUGUUGGGUGGGGGGAACUGGGUUGCAUGAGCAACGGGCCAGCGCACAAGCACACACAGCUCAAUUUGUACAACCACGUGCAGAUGUGGACCAGUGGUUUGUUGCCAGACUGAAGAUUUCUUCUGACCAUUCCUAAACAGAAAAGAAAAAAAGAAGAAAAAAGAAAUUCCGUUUAGAUUCAUCCAGAGGAAUUUUUCUUCAAGGUUCUCUUUGAAUAGUGACACCAGGGUUAAACCUUCCCUUAAGAAAACAAUCAAGAAAGUGUCUGGACAAGGCCCUGCAGUUUUCUUGGCAAGAGUUUUCAGAAGUGAUUUGCCACUGUCUCCUUCCUAGGGCUGAGAGAAAUUGACUGCAGGUAUUGUUCAACAUACAGCCACAGCUGGGACUGGAUUUUCACUUCACUAAUCAAUGCAGUCAUUAAAGGAAUCUUCAUGUGACCA